rnacentral:lncRNA from 1 species
UUGCAUCAUCAUAUGGGAGUCAUAACUUUUCAUGCCAGAGAUAUUGCCGUCGUUGUUGCUAACACACUGCGAUAUGUUUGAAGCAUAUGCAUCAAGAGACUAUGAUUUUGAAUCAUCUACAAAAACUCUUUUUCUCAUCAAAUAGCAAAUAACAUACAGGUGGCAUAAAAAAUCUAUCACCUUGACGAACUAAAUGCAACUCUAGUC